rnacentral:rRNA from 1 species
GACGAACGCUGGCGGCGUGCCUAAUACAUGCAAGUCGAACGCUGAAGAGAGGAGCUUGCUCUUCUUGGAUGAGUUGCGAACGGGUGAGUAACGCGUAGGUAACCUGCCUUGUAGCGGGGGAUAACUAUUGGAAACGAUAGCUAAUACCGCAUAACAAUGGAUGACACAUGUCAUUUAUUUGAAAGGGGCAAUUGCUCCACUACAAGAUGGACCUGCGUUGUAUUAGCUAGUAGGUGAGGUAACGGCUCACCUAGGCGACGAUACAUAGCCGACCUGAGAGGGUGAUCGGCCACACUGGGACUGAGACACGGCCCAGACUCCUACGGGAGGCAGCAGUAGGGAAUCUUCGGCAAUGGGGGCAACCCUGACCGAGCAACGCCGCGUGAGUGAAGAAGGUUUUCGGAUCGUAAAGCUCUGUUGUAAGUCAAGAACGAGUGUGAGAGUGGAAAGUUUACACUGGGACGGUAGCUUACCAGAAAGGGACGGCUAACUACGUG